GACGAACGCUGGCGGCGUGCUUAACACAUGCCAGUCGAACGGAAAGGCCCUGCUUUUGUGGUGUGCUCGAGUGGCGAACGGGUGAGUAACACGUGAGUAACCUGCCCUUGACUUUGGGAUAACUUCAGGAAACUGGGGCUAAUACCGGAUAGGAGCUCCUGCUGCAUGGUGGGGGUUGGAAAGUUUCGGCGGUUGGGGAUGGACUCGCGGCUUAUCAGCUUGUUGGUGGGGUAGUGGCUUACCAAGGCUUUGACGGGUAGCCGGCCUGAGAGGGUGACCGGCCACAUGGGGACUGAGAUACGGCCCAGACUCCUACGGGAGGCAGCAGUGGGGAAUAUUGCACAAUGGGCGGAAGCCUGAUGCAGCAACGCCGCGUGCGGGAUGACGGCCUUCGGGUUGUAAACCGCUUUCGCCUGUGACGAAGCGUGAGUGACGGUAAUGGGUAAAGAAGCACCGGCUAACUACGUG
rnacentral:rRNA from 1 species